rnacentral:lncRNA from 1 species
CCUUCCUCUCCUCUUCCCCUUAAAGCGGCAACCAAUCCUUCCAGGAGCGAGAGGUGGCCCCACGCUAGGUCCAGGACUUUGGGCGGGGAGGAAGCUGGGUUGGCGGCGUCCGUGCGGGGGCGUCGGAGCGGGAGGGCCAGAGACCAAAUCAAGGGCCCGGAGGUAACUGUGAGUCCAGGGCUCUGGUGGGAGUUGGGUGAUCGCCUAGUCCCUUUGAUUGGACUGUGUCCGCUCUCCUGGAAACUUGAGACAGACCCCCACCGUGAUACAGGAGAACAUGCAAACUAGAGAGCGGGGCAGACAUGUAAAUAUCUCCUUAAUCAGAGCUGGACUGCUGGGGUGCCUGUGCUUUUGGUCUUUGGGAACAUGUGCACUAUAGCCAGGCUGGCUUGAACCUAAAGAAAAUCACCUCUCCUCUCCGGGUCUGUUAACUCAUCUGUGAAGAGAAGAUAACAGUUCCAUGUUUCAUUGCUGUGUAGAUGAGAUGUAUCUUCCACAUUUAGUAAUUGCUCAAUAAAAUUUUAUUGCUUGCUAUCACAAUCUUGGCACUUUAUUUUAAGAAAGAACAUUGGUGCUCAGAACAAGGAGUAACUGACCCUGCCAGGGAAGUCCAGGGAAACUUCCCCGAGGAGGCAG